CUCUCUCUCUCUCUCUCUCUCUCUCUCUCUCUCUCUCUCUCCCUCUCUCUCUGUGUGUGUGUUCACUUACACAGAUCCACACACAUCCCCAGCCUUUCCGUGUAUGGGGCAAAUCACAGAUGCCCUUUUCUCCCAGAGUUGGUUUGUUCACUAUUUAUUUUCACACGGAGGAAUCUGUCAACCAAACUUCAGGCUCAGAGCCUUGGCCUAUCAGGAGCUGUCCCUGAGAUAUCAACGGCGUUAGAACAGGACCUUGGGCCUUUCUCUUGCAGAGGGCUGGAAGAAGCCAGACACCAUCUUGUGAGGCCCUGCCAUCCUGGAUGGGUGUGUUCUAUGAAGGCCCCACUUCCGUCUGUCCCUAGGAGCCUGCUGGCCAUGGUGACUGGGGCACCGAGCUGAAAGCACUGGGAUUGUACCAGUGUUCUACUAGGGCUUGUCCAGUGCUCAGCUUUGGGACUCCGGUGAGCUACUGAAUCACUCCCUAGUGGUGUGCACACACGUCUCCAGACAUGAAGGCACACAUGUGUGCACCUCUCCCUUUCCUACAUACACAACUGCAGGUACCAUGGCAGUGUCUGUCUAGUUCUGGCCUUGCUUUUAAAAACAAGGAAGCCAAAGGCCCUGGGGAGUCAGAGAAGUCCUGAGAAUCAGAGACACAGUCUGGAUGGGAAGUCAGCUCUCUGGUCCCUGCACACACCCCAUUCCCACUCAGCAAUUCGCCUGGAGGUGUGCCAGCUCUCUGGUGUGCCCGGAUGCCCUCCUGUCCCUGCACCUGGGAUGGGACCUCUCUCAGCCCAGGCCUUCCUCUCCUCUUUUCUUCUCUGCUGUCCGCUCUUUCUAGUCCUGGCUUGGCACCAGGGAUGACUGUGUCCCUGGUGGUAGGGAUGGGGCUCCACCCGCUUUAGGCCUUUUUGGUCCCAGCCGCACUCCUCAAAGCAGCUGCAUUCCACCCCACCUUCAGAACCUCGGAGGAUCCCGCAGUCAGCUCUGCCCUCCUGGUGGACUUGCCCCCUCUGAGCCUGCCUGUUGGGGACCACAGGAGGAAGCUGACUUUGAAGGUCUUUCUUGGGGAAUACAUGAGCGACAGAGGUCAAGAUCAGGAUGGAGAAAUCUGCAGACAGCUGAACCAAGCUCAUGGAAACUCACGAACUCUAGACUGACAGCUGUGGAGACUCCAGGGGACCAAAGUAGACCCUCCGUAUGUGGGAGACAGUUGUGAAGUUUGGACUAUCUGAGGGGCCCCUGGCAGUAGGACCACGAUUCAAACCUGGUACAAAGUCCAUUCCUUUGAUGGGAUACUAUGCUCAGCCUUAAUGCAUGGGAGAGGGGCUUAGCCCUGCCCCAACCUACUGUGUCAGAUUUUGUUGACGCUUUAUGGGAGCCCUUAGCCGUGAGGAGUAGACUGGGG
rnacentral:lncRNA from 1 species